GUUCCUAGGUCAAGUGAAAAGUUUCAUUCUAGUACCAUAAAAGAUGAUGAUGAAAAUUUUCAAGAACCAGCUAUUAAAAAUCUAAAGCUUAUGAAGGUUAUGAAUAUACUAAAUUCGAUAGUUGGAGAGGAUUAUAUUGUAUAAACAAAAUAGAUAAUGGAGUUAAGACACCAGAAAAAGCAUCGAAAAUGCUAGAGCCUGAUGACAUUCGACCUUUUGGUGCCCCGCCGGAGAGGACGGGCAUGGCUCAAAAUGCCGUUUAUGGUACAGAGGUGGAGAUAGUUGCAAUGACAACUAUGCUCCAGACAAAUAUUUUAAUACAUACUAUUUAUAAAUGGGCAUACUAUAUGCCCAUUAAAAAAUUAAGUAAUAUUAAAAAAUUUAAUGUAAAUAUUUAUUUAAUAAAUCAUAGCAAACAUA